GUGACAGUUAGCUCAGUUGGUUAGAGUGUGGUGCUGAUAACACCAAGGUCACAGGUUCGAUUCCCAUUCGGACCA